rnacentral:rRNA from 1 species
AUUGAACGCUGGCGGCAGGCCUAACACAUGCAAGUCGAACGAGUGGCGGACGGGUGAGUAAUGUCUGGGAAACUGCCCGAUGGAGGGGGAUAACUACUGGAAACGGUAGCUAAUACCGCAUACCAUCGGAUGUGCCCAUAUGGGAUUAGCUAGUAGGUGGGGUAACGGCUCACCUAGGCCAAGAUCCCUAGCUGGUCUGAGAGGAUGACCAGCCACACUGGAACUGAGACACGGUCCAGACUCCUACGGGAGGCAGCAGUGGGGAAUAUUGGACAAUGGGCGAAAUCCUGAUGCAGCCAUGCCGCGUGUAUGAAGAAGGCCUUCGGGUUGUAAAGUACUUUCAGCGGAGAGGCGUUACCCGCAGAAGAAGCACCGGCUAACUCCGUGCCAGCAGCCGCGGUAAUUC